rnacentral:rRNA from 1 species
UACGUAGGGUGCGAGCGUUGUCCGGAAUUAUUGGGCGUAAAGAGCUCGUAGGCGGUUCGCUAAGUCGGGUGUGAAACCUCCAGGCUCAACCUGGAGACGCCACCUGAUACUGGCGUGACUAGAGUCCGGUAGGGGAGUGUGGAACUCCUGGUGUAGCGGUGAAAUGCGCAGAUAUCAGGAAGAACACCAGCGGCGAAGGCGGCACUCUGGGCCGGUACUGACGCUGAGGAGCGAAAGCGUGGGUAGCAAACAGG